GCAUGAACCCCGGGCGAUUGCGGCCGCCGGAACACCCCACCCGUCGCGGUGGGGCCGCCGGCAGUCGAGGAAAGUCCGGACUCCACAUGCGUGACGGUGGUUGCUAACGGCAACCCAGGGCAACCUGCGGGACAGUGCCACAGAAAACAGACCGCCUGCCACGGCAGGUCAGGGUGAAAAGGUGCGGUAAGAGCGCACCAGCGGCCCAGGUGACUGGGCCGGCUAGGUAAACCCCACCGGGAGCAAUGCCAAGCCGCGACACCACCAGUGGUGUUUCGGGCACGUAGAUCCCUCCACCCCUCGUAAUGAGGGGCAGGGAUGCUGGGCACGCGCCAGUGUCAACGUGCGGGUAGGCAGCUUGAGGGCACCAGCAAUGGUGACCCCAGAUGGAUGAUCGCCCCCGCAGUAGCGGGACAGAAUCCGGCUUAUAGGGGAUCUGCAGUC
rnacentral:RNase_P_RNA from 1 species